UGGGGAAUUUUGGACAAUGGGCGAAAGCCUGAUCCAGCAAUGCCGCGUGUGUGAAGAAGGCCUUCGGGUUGUAAAGCACUUUUGUCCGGAAAGAAAUCCUUGGCUCUAAUACAGUCGGGGGAUGACGGUACCGGAAGAAUAAGCACCGGCUAACUACGUGCCAGCAGCCGCGGUAAUACGUAGGGUGCAAGCGUUAAUCGGAAUUACUGGGCGUAAAGCGUGCGCAGGCGGUUUGCUAAGACCGAUGUGAAAUCCCCGGGCUCAACCUGGGAACUGCAUUGGUGACUGGCAGGCUAGAGUAUGGCAGAGGGGGGUAGAAUUCCACGUGUAGUAGUGAAAUGCGUAGAGAUGUGGAGGAAUACCGAUGGCGAAGGCAGCCCCCUGGGCCAAUACUGACGCUC
rnacentral:rRNA from 1 species